UUUAGGUAUUCAGCCGCGGAAUAAGGAAAACGGGCUCCCAAAAGACAAUGACUGUGGAUCCCACAUUUAUGUCCAGGUAGAAGAUGACGAUGUGAAGUAAACCCACAGAGUCGUCGCCUGAUGCGUCUGAAUGUUUCCAGCCAAAAAGCAAACUUCCCACUUUAAGACAGUCAUAUUGUUAUAUACAUAUAUACAUAUAUGUGUGUGCAUGUGAAAAAAAAAUCUAAUUUAAAGAUGUGUUGUUUGGAUUUUAGUGCCUGUCAUUCUAAACAGAAAGAAUACUAUCUUUAAAUCUCAUCAUUAUGGUAAAAUUUCAUAUACAUAAAAGUAAAUAUUACAAUAGAACACUUAUGCUUAUUUUCUACAACGAAUUUCAGCAAUACCACCAAACUGCUCAAAUAACUAUAAAGCUAUCAAAAUAAAUAAGUAAAUAAUUUAUUACUUCUGUAACUUAAGCCCCUACAUUGUUCCUCAUUGUUUUUUUACUGACUUUGUGUACUACAGCGGUCUAACGUUGUGUGAUGGUGCACUGUACUGCGUCACACGCUGUAACUACUAACCAGGCUUAAAAAACAAGGGAGGUCAACAUCAUCUGUUAAGAGCCGAACGCAGCCUCGAAUGUCGGAUGCCGUUUUUGGCCCGCCCCAAAUACGAAGGACACAUCCAUAGAUACAAUCUAACCAGUGCCGUGUACGAAUGAAUCCCAUGGUUCACUGAGCCGCAAGUGUGUUCUUGGGAGGAAUCGUAGAUAUGUAUGAGGAUAUUAAUGUUAGAUAUAAGCUAUAUUUAUGUCUGUGUGCGCACGGGCGCUAUAUAAAAUAUGUAAAACCCGAUCUUACUAACCGCACGAUCAUCAAGUGGGGGAGGCGAAUUUAUAGCUGACCUCAGUAAAGCCGGUUUAAAAAUACAAAAAAUAUCCGUGCAAUAUUGUUUUAAUCAUAUUUAUUCUACAUGAGGUUACUUUUACUUCAUAAAAUAAGUUUAUACAUACUUCUCAAACAUGACUUUAUAUUCGCGAGAAUACAGUGUAUUUUUUUUAUCACAAGGACUUAUUGAAGCGGCUCAAAGACGUCCUAUUGUUUGCGUCAACGGGUGAUUUCUAAAAAUUCCUUCUUUAAAAUGGCCUGGAUGGUGACAUAUAUUAUAUAUGGGACUUUUGUCUUCUUGUCCCUGAUGGUUGCUGGAAAAAAGUGUGGCCCCGCAGAGUACGAAAGUCACGAUGGUGAAUGCUGCCCCAUGUGCGGAAUAGGCAUGAUUGUGUUGAGAGACUGUACAUCAGAUUCAAGCACAACCUGCAGACCAUGUGUUGACCAGACAUAUAUGGAUGAACCCAAUGGUUUGAAACGCUGCUCUCAGUGCAAAAUUUGUGAUUCAGGCCAAGGGCUUCAUGUCCUCAGAAAAUGUACCACAAUUACCAACACUGUCUGUGAUGUUCUGGAUGGAUUUUAUUGUGUAGCAUAUUCAGGAGAUAAUGAAUGCAGUUAUGCAUCAGAACAUAAGUCUUGUCUCCCUGGUCAGGAAAUAAAAACACCAGGAUCAAAGACGAGAGAUGUGGAGUGUGAGGGCUGUUCACACGGCUAUUACUCAACAGACGGCGUACAUUGCACACCAUGGACAAGCUGUAACAUUGAUGAGGAGAAGAUUGAAGAUGGAACCAAACAGAAAGAUGUUGUUUGCCAGGAAUUAACCUUGAGACACAGAUAUUUAAUAUGUUUUGCCUUCACAUUAUUUCUGAUUGCUUUAAUUGGACUAUUUCUGUUACUUUAUGCAAAAGAUAAUCGCAGACGAUUGAAUGUUCCAGUACAAGAAUCCGACAGAGUCGAUGACAGCCAGAACGCGAUCCCGGAUGGGCUCCCCCUUUGAGUCUGGUCCCUCCCAAGGUUUCUUCCUUCUAGGGAGUUUUUCCUUGCCACUGUCGCCUAUGGCUUACUCACUGGGGGCUUUGGGAGGCCAAGUGAUGUAGGCAUUGAUGUUUUCCAUUCUAAUUACAGAAGUUGGAAGGUACCAGUAAAACAGUUAACCUACCAACAUGAUCAUCAAGAGGCAGGCGUCAAACCAGUCCAGUGCGGUGGCUGUGAUUCUUAACUGAAGUAGCCAACUACUUAUCUAGAAUUACUCUAUGAAAAUGGAUACUCUGGAUAAAAGUGUUAGCUAAAAGACAAUAUGUGACAUACAUCUGCCUGAUCUGGGCACCUACACUGGGGAUUGACAGGACUGUAGACAGCCAGUACAGGCCAGAGAAGAACAGAAGAUAUGGAGGUAGAUUUAUGCAUAACUCAUAGUUUGGUUUACAGAAUGGCCUGGUUCAUGUUGUAUAGAUAUUGCAUGAUGUGUGGUAUCUGCAGCACGACCCCUAAAAUCGCCCCCCAUGCGAAGGAGCUCGAUGGCAUCAGCCAGCCAAUGGUUAACAGUAACAUGUUAAGCAUUAAGUGGUCAAUCUUGUGAAUGACACUAAAACAUCCAUCUAUCGUCUGUUUAUCCUGCUCUGUUUUUUUCAUGCACAUAUCUUGGAAGGUUGAUACUUAUACCAACUGUAUAUAACACUGCAUACAGUAGAAUUUUGGGUUUAGGAAUAUUUUUGUACCAUACUAAAUGACCAUGUCUGGACCAUUUUUUUAAUGUAAAAAGACAUUACUAAGUGAUUUAUGCCAAACAAUAUUUUUGUACCAUACUUGUUAGAGUGUAUCUGUGUAUUUUAUCAUAUUAUUAUCCUCCUAUAUGUGUACGUGCAACCCUUAACAACUAACCCAUGGCCCAGAAAGGGUUGCAGACAAGAUGUCCUCACAGGGGCCUACCAGAUUGUGACGCAGGAAUAAGAGACCUUGACAAAGGAAACAGAUUCUGUCAACAUAGCAGGGGGCCCACCUUGAGAAAUGUAAUGCUUUGUAUUAACCCUGUUUCACGGAGGCCUCACACAGCAUUGACUAGUUUAAAGACAAGACCCAUGUAACCCCUCCCCUACCCUAUAAAUAAAGAAGCCAAGGGACUGUCCGGUGUGACACUCAACAGAGGCGCAGAUACUGUCUGUUGCACCUGAAGUGGGCACCCUUGCGCAAGUAAAACAGAAA